rnacentral:lncRNA from 1 species
CCCCGUGCAAGCCUUGCACACUUGAUGCACCACCAGCACGCCCCGUGCAACCUCAAUGCACCCCGUGCAAGCCUUGCACACUCGACACACCACCGGCACGCCCCGUGCAAGGCCGCCGGGCCCCGUGUGCCACCAGCAGCCCCCGUGUGACACCGCAGCUUGCGCAACGGGCGGAGGCGGCGCGGGGGGAGCGCGGCUGCGCCCAGGCAUUUCCUGCCGCCCCCUCGCCAAGCAGCGCGGGUGCCCCCCCCACACACUUUGUCCCCCCCCCCCCCGUUGGCACCAGGCGGUGGGUGCCAUGCGGAAGACCUGUUUUUGCCGGUUUUCACCCCAAAAUCUGGCCGUGGUGCUGCUGGGGGGGGGGGCUCGGCACCGCGUGGCGCAGGGGCGCAGCGAUGGGAUGGGGACAUGGGGAGGGGGACACGGGGAGGGGGACACGGGGAGGGGGACGCGGGGAGGGGGACAUGGGGGACGCAGCCACUUGGGGACGGGGGUCCCGGAGCCCCCCAGGGUCCCCCCACCCUCAUCGCUGUCCCCCCCCCUCGCCCAGGAUCUGGCUGUGCUCCCGGUGACGCCGGCGGCACCGAGCCAGCGGGGCCGGGGAUGGGGCCAGGGCUCCUGGUGCCACCGGGAUGGGGACAAAGGGGACGGGAUGGGGACACGGGGAGGGGGCCACGGGGACGGGGAGGGGGCCGCGGUGGGUGAGGGAGGGCGCGGGCCGCGGUGA